AAUGGGCGAAAGCCUGACGGAGCAACGCCGCGUGAGGGAUGAAGGCCUCUGGGCUGUAAACCUCUUUUAUCAAGGAAGAAGAUCUGACGGUACUUGAUGAAUAAGCCACGGCUAAUUCCGUGCCAGCAGCCGCGGUAAUACGGGAGUGGCAAGCGUUAUCCGGAAUUAUUGGGCGUAAAGCGUCCGCAGGCGGCCCUUCAAGUCUGCUGUUAAAAAGUGGAGCUUAACUCCAUCAUGGCAGUGGAAACUGUUGGGCUUGAGUGUGGUAGGGGCAGAGGGAAUUCCCGGUGUAGCGGUGAAAUGCGUAGAUAUCGGGAAGAACACCAGUGGCGAAGGCGCUCUGCUGGGCCAUCACUGACGCUCAUGGACGAAAGCCAGGGGAGCGAAAGGGGUU
rnacentral:rRNA from 1 species